rnacentral:misc_RNA from 1 species
UGCGUAGGAGGCAAGCGUUAUCCGGAUUUAUUGGGCGUAAAGAGUGUGUAGGUGGUCUUUCAAGUCACUAUUUAAAGGUUGCGGCUCAACCGCAAAAUUGGUAGUGAUACUGAUUGUACUUGAGUUUUGUUCGGGGUAUCGGAACAGUUGGUGUAGUGGUGAAAUACGUUGAUAUCAACUGGAACACCGAAGGCGAAGGCAGAUACCUGGAAUUUUACUGACACUGAGACACGAAAGCUAGGGUAGCGAAACAG